AAAAUCUGUUAAUUUUAAACUUGUUGCUACUAAAAACAACGUCUAUGUAGACUAAUGUUUGAAUUGUCAAAUGCGCGUACCUCUCGCCUCUUGAAUACCUGAACGAGACCUUUAAUUCGAAUUUUUACCUACAAAAUAGAAGCAACAUUGCAUAACGACUAGUUUAAUAUCAAGCAGUGAGCACUUUAACUUUUAAACAUUUGGUGAUGACCAAUCUAAUC